UACGUAGGGCGCAAGCGUUAUCCGGAAUUAUUGGGCGUAAAGAGCUCGUAGGCGGUUUGUCGCGUCUGCCGUGAAAGUCCGGGGGCUCAACUCCGGAUCUGCGGUGGGGUACGGGCAGACUAGAGUGAUGUAGGGGGAGACUGGAAUUCCUGGUGUAGCGGUGAAAUGCGCAGAUAUCAGGAGGAACACCCCGUGGCGAAGGCGGCUCCCCUGGGGACGGUACUGACGCUGAGACGCGAAAAGCGUGGGGGAGCGAACAGGG
rnacentral:rRNA from 1 species